GGGGAGGGGAGCAGAGACGGGGGCGGGUGACGUACAAAAAGCUCUUGGAUGAAGCUUCUAGAAGUCAUCAUUGGUUGUCAAGUGGCCUUCAGAAAUACGGCCACAGAGCCUGCGCUGCCGGGAGGGCCUCUGCUGACUGAGAAGCUGGCUUGCCUUGCCUGGGGUUGUGCCCGCGCGGCCCCCCUCCCCCAGCCCACCGCGGGCACCCCAACCCCAUGGUUGAGGCCCUCCGGAGGGGUCCCACGGGCCAGGUCCCAGGGCCACCGGUGGUCCUGGAUGUGCCUUCUUGUUCCCGUUGGCAAGGGGCCUGCAUCAGAGGGCGCCCAGGACCCCGACAGGGAAGUGGGGGCGGAGUGCUGGGGUGACUCGGCUGUUUCUCCCGAAGCUCAUCCCAGGCCGGCCACACUGUCCUCCCCAGGGGACAGGAGCUCCUCCCGCCAACUUCACACCCAAUCCCUCCCCCUCCCCCUCUCCAGCCUCAG